rnacentral:tRNA from 1 species
GGGGCAGUAGUCUAGCUUGGUAUGAUACUCGGCUGGGGGCCGAGUGGUCGAGUGUUCGAAUCAUUCCUGCCCCACCA